GCUACAGCUUUUAACUGUGCUCUCGAGAGUUUGGGGCUUAAUGCAUCUGGUGGGAAGUCAGGUGGUAUUCCGAAGAUCUGGCAUCUAAUAUCGGCUCUGAUGGGUGAAGAUUCAGCUGUCCAACAUAAUGUUUCAAAGAAAAUGUCCUUAGUAAUUGGAGCUAGAUGCCACCUAGAAUGGGGUCAUGAGAAAUACAUCAUGGAGACUAUUCAAGCCCAUCCUGCUCAGUGGGGGUGGGGUGGGGGAUGCGGGAGUAGCGGUUUCUUCAUCUCGUCACCAAUUUGAUUUAAUUGACAUUGCUGAAGCGGGUAAACAGGAAAGAGUACAAGCUAGCGAGGAAGGAGGCGAAGUCAGCGGUUACGGCAGCUAAGACGGCCGCUUUUGAGAGCUUGUAUGCAGGGUUACAGGGGAAAGGAGGGGAGAAAA